UAGAGCUUGCGUCUUUUACCAGCUUCCCUGAUGAUUUUCAGGCACUCUGAAGUGCGAGAACAAAUGCUUGAAGCCUCCUAUCCCUCUCAUCGUGUGUGUGUGUGUGUGUGUGUGUGUGUGUGUGUGUAUAUUAGUCACUCAGUCGUGUCCGACUCUUUGAGACCCCAUGGACUGUAGCGCACCAGGCUCCUCUGUCCUUGGAAUUCUCUGCAAGAAUAUUGGAAUGAGUGAUAGGGCCAAGAAAGGUUAACCAUCAUGUCCAUGAUGACCUAGCCAGGAAGCCAAUCCAGGGGUCCCCCAGGCCUCCUCCCUUGCAUGCUGCCAGUGGUGCUGAAGAGGGCUGGCCCCACGUCUGGGGCGGGCCUAGGCCUGCCACAACGCAAGUCUAAUGGUGAACCUCGUGACUGCUGGACGUCUGGGCCAUGUUCUGGAAAUACUGUCAGCUGGUUUGGGGACCUCUGGAGCCCGUCUUGAACACCAAGUUUAUGCCUUCCCUGACUGUUCAUUCAUGAGUCCCCAGUGGCCUGUCCCCAGGCCAUACUGCCUCCAGAAAUUACCUCCCAAGGGGCGAGCAGCUGAACACCUCCCUUACCACGUGGAAGAGCUUGAAGAAGUCCAUGUUGGCGUACAGGGUGUCUUCCAUCCACUGUAGGGUUCCCUGAGAGAGGGAGCACAAGCUGCCACGCACUGUCUGGGCUGCACGGCGCUGGGGAAAGAUCAGGAAACGCUCCAGGAGGGCCUCGCUGCAGGCGAUGUCCUUCAGCAUCAGGUCUGGGACUCCAUGAGCAAACUGCAGAAAGGAAAAGCAACACUGGAAACCUCCCUGUGUAGAAGAAUACUGGCCCCCCAGUGAUUGCAUGUCCUAACUCACAGACCCUGUGAAUAUGCUAUGUGGCAUGGCGAGGGGAAUUAAAGAUUGCAGAUGAAAUUAAGGUUGCUAUUCAUCUGACUUUAAAAUAAGGAGAUGAUUUGGGAUUAUCUGGGUGAACCCAAUGUAAUCACAAGAGUCCUUUAAAUGUGGAAGAGAAUAGCAGAAUAAACAAUGUCAGGAUAAUUUGAUGCAGGGAAGACUGGACCGGCCACUACUAGCCGUGAAGAUGAAGGGAGGCCACCAGCUGAGGAAUGUAGACAGUCUCUAGAAGCUAGAAAAGGCAAGAAAAUGAACUUUCCUCUAGACCGCCCAGUAAGGAGCACAGCCCUGCUGGCACCUUGACUUUCAGAAUGUAAUCUCUGAAACCAUAAAAUAAUAAAUGUGUGUUGUUUUAAGCCA